CAGUAGCCACGGUAAUACGUAGGUGGCAAGCGUUAUCCGGAAUUAUUGGGCGUAAAGCGCGCGUAGGCGGUUUUUUAAGUCUGAUGUGAAAGCCCACGGCUCAACCGUGGAGGGUCAUUGGAAACUGGAAAACUUGAGUGCAGAAGAGGAAAGUGGAAUUCCAUGUGUAGCGGUGAAAUGCGCAGAGAUAUGGAGGAACACCAGUGGCGAAGGCGACUUUCUGGUCUGUAACUGACGCUGAUGUGCGAAAGCGUGGGGAUCAAACAGGAUUAGAUACCCGCGUAGUCCCUGUCUCUUAUAC
rnacentral:rRNA from 1 species